rnacentral:tRNA from 2 species
CGCGGGGUGGAGCAGUUGGCAGCUCGUCGGGCUCAUAACCCGGAGGUCGUAGGUUCAAAUCCUACCCCCGCAA